rnacentral:rRNA from 1 species
GUCCAUGCCGUAAACGUUGGGAACUAGAUGUAGGGACCAUUCCACGGUUUCUGUGUCGCAGCUAACGCAUUAAGUUCCCCGCCUGGGGAGUACGGCCGCAAGGCUAAAACUCAAAGGAAUUGACGGGGGCCCGCACAAGCGGCGGAGCAUGCGGAUUAAUUCGAUGCAACGCGAAGAACCUUACCAAGGCUUGACAUAUACGAGAACGGGCCAGAAAUGGUCAACUCUUUGGACACUCGUAAACAGGUGGUGCAUGGUUGUCGU